rnacentral:rRNA from 1 species
GACGAACGCUGGCGGCGUGCUUAACACAUGCAAGUCGAACGAAGUGGCGAACGGGUGAGUAACGCGUAAUCAACCUGCCCUUCAGAGGGGCACAACAGUUGGAAACGACUGCUAAUAACGCAUAACGAAGGCGGGGAUUGCGUCUGAUUAGCUCGUUAGAGGGGUAACGGCCCACCAAGGCGAUGAUCAGGAGCCGGUCUGGGGGGAUGAACGGCGACAUUGGGAAUGAGACACGGCCCAGACUCCUACGGGAGGCAGCAGUGGGGAAUCUUCCGCAAUGGACGAAAGUCUGACGGAGCAACGCCGCGUGAGUGAUGACGGCCUUCGGGUUGUAAAGCUCUGUUAAUCGGGACGCGGUACCGGAAUAGAAAGCCACGGCUAACUACGUGCCAGCAGCCGCGGUAAUAC